UCCUCGAGGGACCACCUGUGGCGAAGGCGCCUUCACCAGAACGGCUUCGACAGUGAGGGACGAAAGCUGGGGGAGCAAACCGGAUUAGAUACCCGGGUAGUCCCAGCCGUAAACGAUGUGCGUUAGGUGUAUCGGUGACCACGAGUCACCGAGGUGCCGAAGGGAAACCGUGAAACGUACCGCCUGGGAAGUACGGUCGCAAGGCUGAAACUUAAAGGAAUUGGCGGGGGAGCACCACAACAGGUGGAGCCUGCGGUUUAAUUGGACUCAACGCCGGACAAUCUCACCGGAUA
rnacentral:rRNA from 1 species